rnacentral:tRNA from 1 species
GCCCCUAUAGCUCAGUUGGUUAGAGCAACGGACUUCAACAAAACAGGAGCGCUGGCGCAGAAAUACGUCAGAUGACCGCCGCUAUAUGCUGGAACCCCCUUAGAGCCUGAGGUACUCGCCCGUGAGGGCAGUGAAAAUCCGAUGGAUUGGGCGAUCAGCAGGUAACCGCGAGGGAACCUCAGAGACUACACGCGGCGCACCUGACCGGCUCGGCCGAAGGUGAAGAUAUAGUCCAGACUGCAAGCCGGAGACGGUGGCUGGGGAAACUCAGUGCAGCAAGUUAAUCCGUGGGUCCAGGGUUCGAGCCCCUGUGGGGGCACCA